GGACCAUUAGCUCAGUUGGUCAGAGCAGCCGGCUCAUAACCGGCCGGUCCAAGGUUCGAGCCCUUGAUGGUCCACCA
rnacentral:tRNA from 1 species